rnacentral:lncRNA from 1 species
UUUUUUUUUUUUUUGUAUUUUGUCUUUUUAGGGCCGUACCUGCGGCAACCUGCGGCAUAUGGAGGUUCCCAAGCUAGGGGUUGAACUGGAGCUAUACCUGCUGGCCCACACCACAGUCACAGCAAUGUAGGAUCCAAGCCACAUCUGCAACCUACACUACAGCCCACAGCAAUGCCAGAUCCUUAAUCUACUGAGUGAGGCCAGGAUCAAACUCGCAUACUCAUGGAUACUAGUCAGGUUUGUUAAUCACUGAGCCACUACGGGAACUCCAGCAUGGCUGUUUUUGAUGCUUCUAACCUUUAUCAAUACCUUGCAUCACCAAAAUUUUAUAAUUUUGGUCAAUUUGAUAUUUGUGAACAGUUUAAAUUUCCCCACUCAGGAAUUGAGCUUACUAUCCAUUUGAGCUUCUUCUGUGAAUCAGCUAGUCCACUUAUAUUCUUUCUCAUUUUCCUAACAGUUGUCUUUUUCUGAUUGAUUUGUAAGUUCUCUUCUGCAGUUUAAUACAUCCACGUUUAAAUUAUGACUGUACAAAUAUUUUCACUGUUGAGCCUAUGACCAUUACUCUUUUCUUGUAUGACCAUGUGUUUUUCCUAGAGUUAAUGAUUUCCUUGUUUUUCCAUUUGCUUAGUUUUCCAUAUACCUGUGAUUAAUUUUUUCCAAAUGCUCCAACGUGCCUGCCAUUCUAUCAGAAUUACUAUGCACUCAAAAAUGAGUUUCAAUCUUUUAUUUCAUGAAGUUCUCACUUUCCAAGCCAUCUAUGGUCCUGUUACAGCCUGUGCUGAUUGCUGUCUGAAAGACUGCAUUGCUGGCAUUCUGGAUCUUCCAUUCAGUCUCCUGGAUUGGAUUUCAUAUUUCCCCAAUCUCAUGUCUUCCUCUUCCAUGGUUUUGCUGGCACUUAUCCUUGCAGCUUUCCCAUCCAAAUAGAAGUAUGUCUGAAUCCUUGCAUGGCUUUUUAAUUGAUUGUCUAUUCGUUUUCCAUUCAGUUUUGAAGGAAUUGCUCUACUGCCUCCUAGAGUCCUUUGCUUUAGAAAAAUACAUUUCCAUUCUCUUUCCAAAUCCUUUUUAUGUGACCUAUUUUCUCCCAGAUGCUUUUAUAAUUUAAAUGGGUUCUAAGUUUUACAAUGUGCUUUUGCUCUGGAUCUUUUGUGCUGGGCCUUUAGUAAACCCCUUCAAUCUGGAGAUCCAUGUCUUUAAUUCUGGAAGGUUUCUGUUUUGUUGUUGUUACUGGUUUCCUGCAAUUGUUUUCUCUGUUCUCUUUUUCUCCAACUUAUUUCUAAGUCAACAUUUGUAUUUAAUUCUAGGUAUGGGGCAGAUGCUCUUUCUUGUCUCUGUGACUUUGUAUAUGCUAUUGCUUCUACCUAGGACACAUUUUCUCUUCCAUUCUUUCUCCUAUCCUAGAAAAUCACCACUUAUCUUUCAAAAUACAUUUCCAACAUUAGUUCUUCCAUGGUGAUCCCUUGACCUUAGGCUGAGAUGAGAUGAGAUGGUCUCUCCUCCUCUAUGCCUGCAAAGUCUUUUGUGGCACCUCCAAUGCCAAACUAUCAUCUGUAUAUACUUCUGCCUCCCCCAUUAUCAUAAACUCCUUGAGCAGGAUGGUGUUAUCCAUUCUGUGUCCUCAGUGCCUAAUAUUGUGUAAGGAUAUGAAUUAAUGAAAAAAUUAAACAAGGGGUGAAAAGUGAACAUUUCCUCCUGCUAUAUGUCAAGGGCCAUGCAAGGGAGGUACCAUCCCAUGUAUCUUCACUUAAUCGUUAGAGCAGACCUCAGACAGUAACUGUUUAUGUAACAAAUAUUACCUGAGCCCCUAUCGUGUGCCAGGGUGGAUAAUGGCCAAAGGAUGAAAAGACAAAAUCUCAUUAAGACUUUUUUUCUCAUAUAAUUUUUUAAAAUUGACAUGCAAUUCACAUACCAUAAAAUCCACUGGUUUAAAAUGUACACCUCAGGGGGUUUUAGCAUAUUCACAAAAGUCAUGCAACCAUCAUCAUUAGGCAAGAUAUUUUUUAUAUGUAUAAAGAAAGUGCUGUAUGUAUCCUAGGGUUUUGUCAAAAGAGAAAAGCAGUUUACUGGGGGAAGAAAACCAUUCCAGGGGAAGGGAGCAGUAUGAGAUGGUUCAAUGUUUGGAAACUAUGAAAACUGCAGGGGAGCUGACUUUAUGCUGAGGAAGUAAGUUGGGUUAUUUUACAAAUGAGGAAUCUGAAGUUCAGAGAGGUGAAUUAACUAGGGUCAGACAAUUUCUCUUUGGGCCAACUCAGGAAAAAGUAUCUAAAUGAUGUUACUCCACCACUAAAUCAUUCUCAACAAACAGGCAGGUGUUGACAUCACCAAAUACUGUAUUAUCAAAUACUGAACUGCCUCUUUUCCCCCAGCCUUCCAGCAAAUAGGCUUCAUUUUUUUCUCCCAACGGCUUGCAUUACCUAGACCCACUGGCCAUAAUGACUACCAUUAUUAGUCGAGCAAAAACUUUUCCACUAUGUUUUUUAGAGUCCAAAGGUUAAGGCCACCAUAGUGAUGUUAUCAGAAAGUGCUCUGUCCAUGGACAAAAACAUUUUCGUCAUGAAAGUCAAGAUAAAGCCUUAAUACUUUAUGGGCUCUUUGUUAAGCUAACAUGUUUUUGCCAAUGAUGUUUCAAACCCUCUGUAUGACCAUGAAAAAUGCUCACUUUCCUGGGCCUCAGUUUUCCUACCUGCAAAGUGAUAUUAGGAAAUCUUGUCCCAGACACCUUAACACCAUCUUGCCCAAAAGAAUCACUGGAAAACCAUGAAGAUCUGCACUGUUUUGAAAUUCUUGAGGAAAGGUUAAUACACGCUUUUAAAAGUACUAUGUCUAAUAUAAGACUUACUCCAAAUUUCUGACAUUGGUGAAACAUUCAUAAAAUCUUUGCUUAGUAAGCUUAAAUUAAGCUCAGAUCAAUCUCCAUUUCAUCUCUCUAGGAAAGGAGGAGGUAGGGGAACUCAGGAGAAGAUAGGUAGAAAAUAAAGUUUGUGAGGCAGUGGCAAUGAUUUCUGGUUUUGCAUUUGGAGGCUGUUCCCUUCUUUAACAUGUGAAAAAGCAACUCUGGCUUCUAGGAUAAGGAACUGUAGUGCUACAAAUCAGAGGUGUGUUGGAAACAGGUCCCUUACCACAUUUACCCAUCGAAACUUGUCUCUAGCACUGUAUUUACAAACCACCAGCAGGACAGAAGACACAAAUUACAGCAAAGACCACUUUUUUUUCAGAAAAAAAGUUUGAAAGUGACCUGGUGAAGCAGAUAGAAGAGUUAACCAGAAGCCACCUCUGCCAAGAAUCUUUAGAUACUUGCUCCCCACUAGAGAAUCCAAGCUAAAAUGUUUUCAGGUCUGCAGUGAGACCAAGAAAUUGACAUGUCUGAAAAUAUCAUACAACAAAGUUUUACUAAACUUUCAAAGAAGAAUGAGAUAAUUAUCCCUGUCACUCUCAUUUCUCUUUUACAAUGUGCAACUUUGAAAUACUGGAAAUAAACAAACAUGCUGUCCUACAAUAUGGAGGUGACCAAUAAUUUAGUGGAAUUGGUGUAAAUAAUUUGAAAAUCAUUAAUUCCUAGUCUGCUGAGGUUUAUACACAAACAAUAGUUUUCACUUGCGAUUCUCCACUGUAUUUUAGUAUGGAAGCAUCCAUACCUAACUGAUCUAUUAGUCUGGGGAACAAUGGCAAAGUCCAUUCCCAACUCCAAGAAUCCAAUUCCUAUUCUAGAAAGAGGAAAUACGUGAAUAUUUGAGCUAAAGCCAGAAUUCAAAUAACUGCAAAUACCUAGGUGAGAAUAAAUACAUUUUCUCCUCUGGACAGCAAUUAUUUAAGGAAAUCUCCCCAAAAGGAAGUAUUUUAAAGCUCAUGAGUUCCUGGGGGAAAGAAAAAAAAUAAGCAAUAAGUGUGUGUCCACUGUGUCUCAACACACUACUCAGUUCUCCUUUGCGUAUCCUGCACAACAACCAAGAGUUGGUUGCUUUAUGCUCUAUGGAUCAAGAAACAUAGGCUUAAAGAUAGGGGAACACAGCUGAGAUCUGAAUCCUAAGCUGAAAGGCCUUUCACUGGCCAGUUUUCUAAACAAGAAUCACCUGGGCGUAGUUAAGGGAAAAUACAAAAUCCAGGCUCACAGGGUCUGUCUUCCCCAAAGGAAGGGGUCUGGGAACGUCAAUUUUUUUUUAAGAAGCUAUGCUCCUUCGACCCACCUAGUCAAAGGGAGAGCUUGAGAAAGACAGUACUUCACGACCUCGCCAGACUAGAACCUGUUCCAAUCCUACAGUGUGGCUACAUCACCCAGAGGCCCCCAGCGCCC